rnacentral:rRNA from 1 species
GCUCCAAUAGCGUAUAUUUAAGUUGUUGCAGUUAAAAAGCUCGUAGUUGGAUUUCGGGUGGGUGACAGCGGUCCGGCUCUGCUGUGUACUGCUGUUGCCUUCCUUUCUGUCGGGGACGGGCUCUUGGACUUCACUGUCCGGGACUCGGAGUCGGCGAGGUUACUUUGAGUAAAUUAGAGUGUUCAAAGCAAGCGUUCGCU